rnacentral:rRNA from 1 species
GAUGAACGCUAGCGGGAGGCCUAAUACAUGCAAGUCGAGCGGUAGAGUGACUUCGGUUGCUUGAGAGCGGCGAACGGGUGAGUAACGCGUACACAAUCUACCUUUAAGAGGGGAAUAGCCCUGGGAAACUGGGAUUAAUGCCCCAUGGCAUCACGAGACGGCAUCGUUUUGUGAUUAAAGCUGAGGUGCUUAGAGAUGAGUGUGCGUCUGAUUAGCUAGUUGGUGCGGUAACGGCGCACCAAGGCGACGAUCAGUAGGGGGCGUGAGAGCGUGGACCCCCACACGGGUACUGAGACACGGACCCGACUCCUACGGGAGGCAGCAGUAAGGAAUAUUGGUCAAUGGAGGAAACUCUGAACCAGCCAUCCCGCGUGCAGGAAGAAUGCCCUAUGGGUUGUAAACUGCUUUUAUCUGGGAAGAAAAGUCGGGAUUUAUCCUGAUCUGACGGUACCAGAGGAAUAAGCACCGGCUAACUCCGUGCCAGCAGCCGCGG